UACGUAGGGGGCAAGCGUUGCCCGGAAUCAUUGGGCGUAAAGAGCGUGUAGGCGGUCCGGUAAGUCGGCUGUGAAAGUCCAGGGCUCAACCCUGGGAUGCCGGUCGAUACUGCCGGACUAGAGUUCGGAAGAGGCGAGUGGAAUUCCCGGUGUAGCGGUGAAAUGCGCAGAUAUCGGGAGGAACACCUAUGGCGAAGGCAGCUCGCUGGGACGUUACUGACGCUGAGACGCGAAAGCGUGGGGAGCAAACAGG
rnacentral:rRNA from 1 species